rnacentral:rRNA from 1 species
CGGGGGGGGGCAAGCGUUGUUCGGAAUUACUGGGCGUAAAGGGCGCGCAGGCGGGCGGGAAAGUCUCUCGUGAAAUCCCACGGGCUCAACCGCGGAAUUGCGGGAGAUACUACUCGUCUUGAGUUCGGGAGAGGAGUGUGGAAUUCCCAGUGUAGCGGUGAAAUGCGUAGAUAUUGGGAGGAACACCGGUGGCGAAGGCGGCACUCUGGACCGAUACUGACGCUGAGGCGCGAAAGCUAGGGGAGCAAACGGGAUUAGAUACCCCGGUAGUCCUAGCUGUAAACGCUGAGCACUUGGUGUAGCGGGUAUCGACCCCUGCUGUGCCGAAGCUAACGCAUUAAGUGCUCCGCCUGGGGAGUACGGUCGCAAAGGCUG